rnacentral:rRNA from 1 species
UACGUAGGGGGCAAGCGUUGUCCGGAUUUAUUGGGCGUAAAGAGCUCGUAGGCGGUUUGGUAAGUCUGGUGUGAAAUCUCCACGCUCAACGUGGAGGGGCCACUCGAUACUGCCAUGACUGGAGUCCGGUAGAGGAGUGUGGAAUUCCCGGUGUAGCGGUGAAAUGCGCAGAUAUCAGGAAGAACACCUAUGGCGAAGGCAGCUCUCUGGGACGGUACUGACGCUGAGACGCGAAAGCGUGGGGAGCGAACAGG